GGUCCCGUAGUGUAGCGGUUAUCACGUCGCCCUGUCACGGCGAAGAUCGCGGGUUCGCUUCCCGUCGGGACCG
rnacentral:tRNA from 1 species